rnacentral:tRNA from 1 species
CAGUAAAUAGUUUAAUUUUAAAAAUUUUAAUUUUGGGGAUUAAGGAUGGGCUUUGCCUUUUACUGA